UACAGAGGGUGCGAGCGUUGUUCAGAAUUACUGGGCGUAAAGGGCGCGUAGGCGGCCUGUUAAGUCGAACGUGAAAUCCCCGGGCUCAACCCGGGAACUGCGUCCGAUACUGGCAGGCUUGAAUCCGGGAGAGGGAUGCGGAAUUCCAGGUGUAGCGGUGAAAUGCGUAGAUAUCUGGAGGAACACCGGUGGCGAAGGCGGCAUCCUGGACCGGUAUUGACGCUGAGGCGCGAAAGCCAGGGGAGCAAACGGG
rnacentral:rRNA from 1 species